CCAAUGUGCAUUAUGAACACGUUUUGAUUAACAGACAUUUAAAAAAUAAAGUAGAAAACGGUGGACAAACUAAAAAAAAUAUAUGUGAUAUCGAAUUGUGUGAAAAUAAUGAUAAAAUAAAAUUGAAUGAUGAAUCUCAUGGUGCAAAAAACAAUGUACUUAAGAUAAAUAGUAACAAACCUAAAAAUAACAUUUGUAGUGAUAAAAGCAAUACAAGCGUAAGAUCAAUAAUGAGUAAUAGUAUAAUAUUUAGCAAUUCUUUAAAUUCUGAUGGAAAUGAUUAUUUAACGUUUAAUGAUGAUGUGUUUAUAUUUAUAGAUGAUUAUGCAAAAAAAUAUUCAAAUAAUUAUAAAAAAAGUGAUCAUAAUUAUAAUAACAUAUCACUAGAAAAUAUGAAUGGUUUAAAAUAUGAUGAUAACACACUAAUAAAACAUAAUAAUAUAGCUGAUAUGGUAAUACAUAUAAAAAAAUAUAUUAAAAGUAAUAUUUCAUAUUUCGCUUGUAAACAUAUAGAAAUAAAUGAUUUAUGCAACUUAAAUAAAAAAAAUAAUAAAUAUGACAACUUAAAUAUUUAUAUGUAUGAUAAUAACACAUCCGAUUUAUCUAUGAGUGACUGUUUAAUAACCCCUAACAAGGAAGAAAAUAUCUUAUGCAGUUCAUUUAAUUUAACAGAUAUGAAUGCCGUUAAUAGUAAUGAUAAAGAGCAUGAAAAAGAUGGAAUAAGUGAAAGUAGUGAACAAAAUUAUAAAAGUGGUACUCGAAAAAAUAAAACGUAUAUUGAAACGAGUAAGGAUGAAACAUCGAACUGUGAUAUUGUUAUAUACCAUGACGAAAGGAAUAAUCAUUAUGAAAAUGAAAUAAGUGAAGAUUAUGACAAUAAUGAUUUUUCAAAAAAACAGAAACUUAUAAGAACCAAGAAAUUUACAGAGUCGAAGCUUAUAAGAACUAAAAAAUCCACAGAGUUAUUAAAUAAAAAAAAUCAAAUACUAACGUUAAUUGAUGAAUUGAAAGAAGAAUUAGCAAAGAGAAGAAAUUCUUAUGAAAGUGAUGAAAAUAAAAAAAACAAAACAACUGAUGAUGUAUUUAGAUAUGAGGAAAAAAAAAUAAUAAUUACAGGA
rnacentral:lncRNA from 1 species